rnacentral:rRNA from 1 species
UUUCGCAAUGCCCGAAAGGGUGACGAAGCGACGCCGCGUGCGGGAAGAAGGCCUUCGGGUUGUAAACCGCUGUCGGGAGUUAAGAAGUGCAGGGAUGUUAAUAGCAUCCUUGCUUGACUGAGGCUCCGGAGGAAGCCACGGCUAACUCUGUGCCAGCAGCCGCGGUAAUACAGAGGCGGCAAGCGUUGUUCGGAAUUAUUGGGCGUAAAGAGCACGUAGGCGGCCGUGUAAGUCGGUUGUGAAAGCCUUCCGCUCAACGGAAGGACGGCAUCCGAUACUGCAUGGCUCGAGUGCGGGAGGGGAGAGUGGAACUUCUGGUGGAGCGGUGAAAUGCGUAGAUAUCAGAAGGAACACCGGCGGCGAAGGCGACUCUCUGGUCCGUAACUGACGCUGAGUGUGCGAAAGCUAGGGGAGCAAACGGGAUUAGAUACCCCGGUAGUCCUAGCCGUAAACGAUGGGCACUAAGUAGAGGGGUUUU